GUCCCAGACUCCUACGGGAGGCAGCAGUGGGGAAUAUUGCACAAUGGGGGAAACCCUGAUGCAGCAACGCCGCGUGAGUGAGGAAGUAUUUCGGUAUGUAAAUCUCUAUCAGCAGGGAAUAGAAAAGAAGGUACCUGAAAAAGAAGCCCCGGCUAACUACGUGCCAGCAGCCGCGGUAAUACGUAGGGGGCAAGCGUUGUUCGGAAUGACUGGGCGUAAAGGGUGUGUAGGCGGUGUAGCAAGUUAGAAGUGAAAUACCUAGAGCUUAACUCAGGUGCUGCUUCUAAAACUGCUAUACUUGAGUGCAGUAGAGGAAAGUGGAAUUCCUAGUGUAGCGGUGGAAUGCGUAGAUAUUAGGAGGAACAUCAGUGGCGAAGGCGACUUUCUGGACUGUAACUGACGCUGAGGCACGAAAGUGUGGGGAGCAAACAGGAUUAGAUACCCGAGUAGC
rnacentral:rRNA from 1 species